GACGAACCGAGCGAACGUUGUUCGGAAUCACUGGGCUUAAAGGGCGCGUAGGCGGGUGGUCAAGUCUGUGGUGAAAUCCUCCGGCUCAACCGGAGAACUGCCAUGGAUACUGGGUGUCUCGAGGGUGGUAGGGGUAUGCGGAACUAUCGGUGGAGCGGUGAAAUGCGUUGAUAUCGAUAGGAACUCCGGUGGCGAAGGCGGCAUACUGGACCACUUCUGACGCUGAGGCGCGAAAGCCAGGGGAGCGAACGGG
rnacentral:rRNA from 1 species